UUGAACGCUGGCGGCAGGCCUAACACAUGCAAGUCGAGCGGUUGAGAGUAGCUUGCUACUUGAUGCAGCGGCGGACGGGUGAGUAACGCGUGGGAAUCUGCCCAGUAGUGGGGGACAACAGCCGGAAACGGCUGCUAAUACCGCAUACGCCCUACGGGGGACAGGGGGGGAUCUUCGGACCUCCCGCUAUUGGAGGAGCCCGCGUCGGAUUAGCUAGUUGGUAGGGUAAAGGCCUACCAAGGCUACGAUCCGUAACUGGUCUGAGAGGAUGAUCAGUCACACUGGAACUGAGACACGGUCCAGACUCCUACGGGAGGCAGCAGUGGGGAAUAUUGGACAAUGGGGGAAACCCUGAUCCAGCCAUGCCGCGUGUGUGAAGAAGGCCUUAGGGUUGUAAAGCACUUUCAGUGGGGAGAAAGGUUUGUCACCUAAUACGUGAUGAAAUUGAUGUUACCCACAGAAGAAGCACCGGCUAACUCCGUGCCAGCAGCCGCCGUAACAC
rnacentral:rRNA from 1 species